rfam:Tstilago hordei, Th4857-4, WGS project CAGI01000000 data, contig: THOR_scaffold_5.00045
GGGUCUUUAGCUCAGCAGUAGAGCGGCAGACUUCGGUUCUCAUUCGAAGAUUCUUCAUAGGUAUUCUGCAGGUCGCGGGUUCAAUCCCCGUAGGACUCU